AUACGGAGGGUGCAAGCGUUAUCCGGAAUCAUUGGGUUUAAAGGGUCCGUAGGCGGACUAUUAAGUCAGAGGUGAAAUCCCACAGCUCAACUGUGGAACUGCCUUUGAUACUGGUAGUCUUGAGUUAUAUGGAAGUAGAUAGAAUGUGUAGUGUAGCGGUGAAAUGCAUAGAUAUUACACAGAAUACCGAUUGCGAAGGCAGUCUACUACGUAUAUACUGACGCUAAGGGAUGAAAGCGUGGGGAGCGAACAGGAUUAGAAACCCUAGUAGUCC
rnacentral:rRNA from 1 species